UACAGAGACUGCAAGCGUUAUUCGGAUUCACUGGGCGUAAAGGGUGCGCGGGCGGCUAGGUGUGUCAGAUGUGAAAUCCCGAGGCUCAACCUCGGAACUGCAUCCGAGACUGGAAGGCUAGAGUACUGGAGAGGGUGGUGGAAUUCCUCGUGUAGCGGUGAAAUGCGUAGAGAUGGGGAGGAACACCAGUGGCGAAGGCGGCCACCUGGACAGUAACUGACGCUGAGGCGCGAAAGCGUGGGUAGCAAACAGG
rnacentral:rRNA from 1 species